rnacentral:rRNA from 1 species
CGGACGGGUGAGUAAUGCGUGAGCAACCUGCCUUUCAGAGGGGGGACAACAGUUGGAAACGACUGCUAAUACCGCAUGACAUAUUGAGAUCGCAUGGUUUUAAUAUUAAAGAUUCAUCGCUUCGCGAUGGGGAUGCGUCUGAUUAGGUUGUUGGCGGGGCAACGGCCCACCAAGCCCACGAUCAGUAGGGGUUCUGAGAGGAAGGUCCCCCACAUUGGAACUGAGACACGGUCCAAACUCCUACGGGAGGCAGCAGUGAGGAAUAUUGGUCAAUGGGCGAGAGCCUGAACCAGCCAAGUAGCGUGCAGGAUGACGGCCCUAUGGGUUGUAAACUGCUUUUAGGCGGGGGUAAAGUGGCGGACGCGUUCCGCCUUUGCAAGUACCGCCAGAAAAAGGACCGGCUAAUUCCGUG